GGGGUGAAGAGUGGGUAAAAGAUUUUGCUUUUGAAACUUUUAAGAUAAUCCCUAUAAUAAUAUGGGUAAAUAUGGAUACUCAUAUUAUCCAUUGCGUAAUUCAUUUUUACCCAUUUAAAAUAUGAGUUGAGUAUUUUGCCAUUUUUAUUUAACUCAUUUUCGAUCAAUUCAUAUUUGAUUCGACCCACUGAUCAUUUGCCACUCCUAAUUGCGA
rnacentral:lncRNA from 1 species